GGGGAGGCUGUUGAGCGAGGGUGAUUGAUUCGGUUAGAUUGUGAUGUGUUAUUUAGGCAGAAGACAGGGGAGCUAGGAGAAUGGAGGAAAACAGAAAGCGAAAGCAGAAAAAAUAGUAGAAGAGAAGAGCCCUUUUUCACCACGUAGACGUGGGCUCUGGUUGUUCUAGAUUGGGGUUCACUUGCCCAUGACCGGGAGAGAGGGCAGGGACCUUGGUCAAUCAGCAGCCCCCAAGAGACCUGGAAGACAAGGAGCGCGCGAGUGGUGGUAUCAUUCUGGGAGGCUCCGAUGCAAGAAACUCUGUCUGUGGACACUGCUGUCCUGAAAGGGUUAAUGCACUUAAUUAAGAGGGUGGUGCUGCAGAUUCAAAUGAGGAGAAAUCAACUAUGCUGAACAAGAAGCUGGACUAGAGGGCCAAAGGCCUGGGCCGGGAAAGCAAGCCCCUGGUACAGGCAACACCUGCAGAGCGGAAGGGAGUGGGAGUGAGGAGGGAAUCGAGUGCUUCCGGCAGUGCUGGCUAAAUGGUGGAAGGCGCAAUGGAGCUUCUUCCUCUUACCCUCAGCAAGAACUUCAGGAACUGCUCCAGCUGAGAUCGGGAGUGGAAACAGAAAGACAGAGAGGAAGGGAAGGAGGGAGAUGGAGCAUAACUGUGCUAAUAAAAAGGGAGCCCUGAAAAGGACUCAAAACUUCCUCCUCAUUCCCAUCCUGUCACUUGCAGCAGAAACUAUUGCCUUGGGACUUGCCAGAGACCUGAAGAUUCCUGAACUCAAGGUGGGGCAUUGCCUUUGAGGAACUGAAGCCACGUAACUGAAUAGGCUAGUCUUGGUUUUCAGAAUGUGAGCCAUAGAACCAGGAUAAUGCAUUAGUCAUGGUCCAUUGAGCUAAUACAAAAGUACUCAAGUAUAUUCCAAAAUAUAUUUUUCUAUAUCUGAAGAUAAUUUGAGUCUGUAGACACCCAUUAAACCUAUAAAGUAUGCACCCACUGCCAAUGCGAUUGACCUAUCGGAAAGAUGUGUACUUGGGAGCGUAGGCAUGCAUCUUUGCAAGUGUGGAGGUGUGUUGGUUAUCAUGAGUGAGAACUGGUGAGUGGGAUUCAGAGCCUGAGUCCUACCUGAGUAACUGGGAGACUGUGGUACUGUGCCUCCAAGGUGGCAUCCAUCAAUGCUUCCUUCCCUGUGUGCACAUCCAGAGAUGAGAUUGACGCCUCCUCUCCCCUUAGACAUGGCUGGACUUACCAACAUGCUUGGUAAGUCCAGAAUGCAGCUGUGUGACUUUGGGGAUUUGGAGGCUCGGUCACAGAAGUCGCAGCUUCCCCACGUGCCUCUUCGUCUGCUUGCUUUUGAACAUUUCCUCAUGGGCACCAGCCUUGAGGGCCAUGCUGUGAGAAGCUGAAGCCGCUGGAGAGGUCCCUGUAGAAGUGCAGAGACAGAGAGGAGCAGAGGACCCAGGAGGCACCGGAAGCAGGUGUGAGGAACCAUCUUGUAAGUGGAUCCUGCCCCACAUGACACUGUGAGAUUCAGAGAUGAAUGGCCCAGCCAAUUUCUUCCCAAAUUCCUAAACCAUACAAUUGUGAGCUAAAUAAAACUGUUGUUUUAAGUCACUA
rnacentral:lncRNA from 1 species